rnacentral:lncRNA from 10 species
ACCUUAACAGGCAUGCAGAAUCUGACUCAGGAACAGAGACUCAAGAGAACUAAGGUGCAGUAGGAAGCAGGUGGCAGAGUGAAGAUAAUUGAAGAUGCAGAGUACUGAGCCCUCCACCUGCAAAUGCAUACAGCCAUGAACAGAUGGGUGUAAACUGAGGCAGUGGAGGGAGAGGGGUACUCCCAAGCCCUGAAAAUCUCAGAGUAAGAGGCCACCGACGACAGCGCUCACCGGUGCUGAGCUCCCUUCUACAGAAACCUGCAAAGACUCAGAUCGAGGAGGAAAUACACCAGGAAAAUGUCACAGGAUCAUCUCGAGGUAAGGUCCUGAGCAAGGUAGCCUUUCCAUGCCUGCAUUUCCUCAUCUGUCAAAUUCGGAGCAUGAUGGGCUCUGUCAAACAGGGUUACAGGCAUUGAGCCACUAUGCCCAGCUGCAUUAGCUCAUUUUUUGACUUUGCUUAAGAGUUCCUUGCCCACUCUUCAAAAAUGUUGAUGUCAUGGAAGACAAAAACUAAGGAAUCAUUUCAGGUUAAACAAAACUUGGGGAGACAGGACAACUGAAUAUAAUCCAUGAUCUGGGACUUUGUUUUCAUUUCUGUAAAGCAUAACAUUGGAGACCAGGCUGGCCAAUAUGGCAAAACCCCAUCUCUACUAAAAAUACAAAUA